rnacentral:rRNA from 1 species
GACAGAGGGUGCAAACGUUGCUCGGAAUCACUGGGCGUAAAGGGCGCGUAGGCGGCCUGUUAAGUCGAACGUGAAAUCCCCGGGCUCAACCCGGGAACUGCGUCCGAUACUGGCAGGCUUGAAUCCGGGAGAGGGAUGCGGAAUUCCAGGUGUAGCGGUGAAAUGCGUAGAUAUCUGGAGGAACACCGGUGGCGAAGGCGGCAUCCUGGACCGGCAUUGACGCUGAGGCGCGAAAGCCAGGGGAGCAAACGGG